CUUACCAUGCAGUCGACGAUGAGCCCUUCGGGGUGGAUUAGUGGCGAACGGGUGAGUAACACGUGGGCAAUCUGCCCUUCACUCUGGGACAAGCCCUGGAAACGGGGUCUAAUACCGGAUAAUACUUCCACUCGCAUGGGUGGGGGUUGAAAGCUCCGGCGGUGAAGGAUGAGCCCGCGGCCUAUCAGCUUGUUGGUGAGGUAGUGGCUCACCAAGGCGACGACGGGUAGCCGGCCUGAGAGGGCGACCGGCCACACUGGGACUGAGACACGGCCCAGACUCCUACGGGAGGCAGCAGUGGGGAAUAUUGCACAAUGGGCGAAAGCCUGAUGCAGCGACGCCGCGUGAGGGAUGACGGCCUUCGGGUUGUAAACCUCUUUCAGCAGGGAAGAAGCGAAAGUGACGGUACCUGCAGAAGAAGCGCCGGCUAACUACGUGCCAGCAGCCGCGGUAAUACGUAGGGCGCAAGCGUUGUCCGGAAUUAUUGGGCGUAAAGAGCUCGUAGGCGGUCUGUCGCGUCGGAUGUGAAAGCCCGGGGCUUAACCCCGGGUCUGCAUUCGAUACGGGCAGACUAGAGUGUGGUAGGGGAGAUCGGAAUUCCUGGUGUAGCGGUGAAAUGCGCAGAUAUCAGGAGGAACACCGGUGGCGAAGGCGGAUCUCUGGGCCAUUACUGACGCUGAGGAGCGAAAGCGUGGGGAGCGAACAGGAUUAGAUACCCUGGUAGUCCACGC
rnacentral:rRNA from 1 species